rnacentral:rRNA from 1 species
AUUGAACGCUGGCGGCAGGCCUAACACAUGCAAGUCGGACGAGCGGCGGACGGGUGAGUAAUGUCUGGGGAACUGCCCGAUGGAGGGGGAUAACUACUGGAAACGGUAGCUAAUACCGCAUACCAUCAGAUGUACCCAGAUGGGAUUAGCUUGUAGGUGGGGUAACGGCUCACCUAGGCGACGAUCCCUAGCUGGUCUGAGAGGAUGAUCAGCCACACUGGGACUGAGACACGGCCCAGACUCCUACGGGAGGCAGCAGUGGGGAAUAUUGCACAAUGGGCGCAAGCCUGAUGCAGCCAUGCCGCGUGUAUGAAGAAGGCCUUCGGGUUGUAAAGUACUUUCAGUCGGGAGGCGUUACCGACAGAAGAAGCACCGGCUAACUCCGUGCCAGCAGCCGCGGUAAUAC